UACGGAGGAUCCAAGCGUUAUCCGGAAUCAUUGGGUUUAAAGGGUCCGUAGGCGGUUUUAUAAGUCAGUGGUGAAAUCCGGCAGCUUAACUGUCGAACUGCCAUUGAUACUGUAGAACUUGAAUUAUUGUGAAGUAACUAGAAUAUGUAGUGUAGCGGUGAAAAUGCUUAGAGAUUACAUGGAAUACCAAUUGCGAAGGCAGGUUACUACUAAUGGAUUGACGCUGAUGGACGAAAGCGUGGGUAGCGAACAGG
rnacentral:rRNA from 1 species